UAGUGUCGCGCAAUGUUCUUCUCUUCUCUUUCUCUGAAGGGCGUUUUGCGGCCAGUGGUCGCCAAAGGAACUCGAAGGGCCCCUCAACUGUAGGCCUUCCUCAAGAGCUACAGUUGGUCUGGGCUCUGCUUUAAUCCUUUCCUCUGAAUCUUCUGGCUUCCUUUUUUCCAGAGCAUGGUGAGUCGGCUGCAGACUUUGACUGUAAAUCAGCUACAACUAGAGACCCAGCGGGCAGGAGGUUUUGCUGGUAAGCUGGACAUCUGUGUAUGUGAAUUUCUUAGCAAUAAAGCAAAAGUGCAACCUUA